rnacentral:rRNA from 1 species
GAACUUAAGCAUAUCAAUGAGCGGAGGAAAAGAAACUAACAAGGAUUCCCUCAGUAACUGCGAGUGAAGUGGGAAAAGCUCAAAUUUGAAAUCUGGCAGCUCUUUCAGGUUGUCCGAGUUGUAAUCUAGAGAAGCGUUACCUGUGUUGGACCGUGUAAAAGUCUUCUGGAAUGGAGCAUCAUAGAGGGUGAGAAUCCCGUCUUUGACAUGGACUACCAGCAUGCCAAGGUGCACUCUCAAAGAGUCGAGUUGUUUGGGAAUGCAGCUCAAAAUGGGUGGUAAAUGCCAUCUAAAGCUAAAUAUUGGCGAGAGACCGAUAGCGAACAAGUACCGUGAGGGAAAGAUGAAAAGAACUUUGGAAAGAGAGUUAAACAGUACGUGAAAUUGCUGAAAGGGAAACGCUUAAAGUCAGUCGCAUUAGCUGGAAAUCAGGCUUGCUUUUGCAAGGUGCACUUUCUAGUUGAUGGGUCAGCAUCAAUUUUAAUCGUUGGAUAAAGUCAUUGGGAAUGUGGCAUCUUUGGAUGUGUUAUAGCCCAGUGUUGAAUACAGCGGUCAGGAUUGAGGAAUUCAGCAUGCCUCUAGGGGCCAGGUUUCGACCAUGUUCAUGCUUAGGAUGCUGGCAUAAUGGCUUUAAUCGACCCGUCUUGAAACACGGACCAAGGAGUCUAACAUGCCUGCGAGUGUUUGGGUGAAAAACCCAUACGCACAAUGAAAGUGAAAGUUGAGAUCCUUAGGGAGCAUUGACGCCCGGACCAGACCUUCUGUGACGGAUCCGCGGUAGAGCAUGUAUGUUGGGACCCGAAA